rnacentral:rRNA from 1 species
CAGUAGCCGCGGUAAUACGGAGGGUGCAAGCGUUAAUCGGAAUUACUGGGCGUAAAGCGUGCGUAGGCGGUUCGUUAAGUCUGUUGUGAAAGCCCCGGGCUCAACCUGGGAAUGGCAAUGGAUACUGGCGAGCUAGAGUGUGUCAGAGGAUGGUGGAAUUCCCGGUGUAGCGGUGAAAUGCGUAGAGAUCGGGAGGAACAUCAGUGGCGAAGGCGGCCAUCUGGGACAACACUGACGCUGAGGCACGAAAGCGUGGGGAGCAAACAGGAUUAGAUACCCCAGUAGUCCCUGUCUCUUAUAA